ACUGGCUCAGGAGUAACGCUGGCGGCGUGCCUAAUACAUGCAAGUCGAAUGGUUAGCUUGCUAACCAUGGCGAACGGGUGAGUAACACGUAGGCAACCUGUCUAAGAGACGAGGAUAACCAUUGGAAACGAUGGAUAAUACUGGAUAGGAUAUUGGAAGGCAUCUUCUGAUAUUUAAAGAUUUAUCGCUAAUAGAGGGGCCUGCGGCCCAUUAGCUAGUUGGUGAGGUAACGGCCCACCAAGGCGAUGAUGCGUAGCCGGACUGAGAGGUUGAACGGCCACAAUGGGACUGAGAACGGCCCAUACUCCUACGGGAGGCAGCAGUAGGGAAUUUUCGGCAAUGGACGAAAGUCUUGACCGAGCAACGCCGCGUGAACGAAGAAGUAUUUCGGUAUGUAAAGUUCUUUUAUUUGGGAAGAAAAUACAUUGACUGUACCAAAUGAAUAAGCUCCGGCUAACUACGUGCCAGCCGCAGC
rnacentral:rRNA from 1 species